rnacentral:rRNA from 1 species
GACGAACCGAGCGAACGUUAUUCGGAAUCACUGGGCUUAAAGGGCGCGUAGGCGGGCGGUCAAGUCAGGGGUGAAAGCCCCCAGCUCAACUGGGGAAGUGCCUUUGAUACUGGUCGUCUCGAGGGGGAUAGGGGCGUGCGGAACUUCCGGUGGAGCGGUGAAAUGCGUAGAUAUCGGAAGGAACACCGGUGGCGAAAGCGGCGCGCUGGAUCCCUUCUGACGCUGAGGCGCGAAAGCCAGGGGAGCGAACGGG